AAGGGGUUUUGAUNCCUGGCUCAGGAUGAACGCUGGCUACAGGCUUAACCACAUGCAAGUCGAGGGGAAACGACGGGGAAGCUUGCUUCCCCGGGCGUCGACCGGCGCACGGGUGAGUAACGCGUAUCCAACCUGCCUCUGACUGAGGGAUAACCCGUCGAAAGUCGGCCUAAUACCUCAUGGCAUCGUCUGCGGGCAUCCAACGACGAUUAAAGAUUUCAUCGGUCAGGGAUGGGGAUGCGUCUGAUUAGUUAGUUGGCGGGGUAACGGCCCACCAAGGCUACGAUCAGUAGGGGUUCUGAGAGGAAGGUCCCCCACAUUGGAACUGAGACACGGUCCAAACUCCUACGGGAGGCAGCAGUGAGGAAUAUUGGUCAAUGGGCGGGAGCCUGAACCAGCCAAGUAGCGUGCAGGAUGACGGCCCUAUGGGUUGUAAACUGCUUUUAUGCGGGGAUAAAGUGAGGGACGUGUCCUUCAUUGCAGGUACCGCAUGAAUAAGGACCGGCUAAUUCCGUGCCAGCAGCCGCGGUAAUACGGAAGGUCCGGGCGUUAUCCGGAUUUAUUGGGUUUAAAGGGAGCGUAGGCCGUGGAUUAAGCGUGUUGUGAAAUGCAGGUGCUCAACGUCUGCACUGCAGCGCGAACUGGUUCACUUGAGUGUGCGCAACGCAGGCGGAAUUCGUCGUGUAGCGGUGAAAUGCUUAGAUAUGACGAAGAACUCCGAUUGCGAAGGCAGCUUGCGGGAGCACAACUGACGCUGAAGCUCGAAAGUGCGGGUAUCGAACAGGAUUAGAUACCCUGGUAGUCCGCACGGUAAACGAUGGAUGCCCCGUUGUCAGGCUGUUUCAGCCUGGUGACCAAGCGAAAGCAUUAAGCAUCCCACCUGGGGGAGUACGCCGGCAACGGUGAAACUCAAAGGAAUUGACGGC
rnacentral:rRNA from 1 species